rnacentral:rRNA from 1 species
UACGAAGGGGGCUAGCGUUGCUCGGAAUCACUGGGCGUAAAGGGCGCGUAGGCGGAUCUUUAAGUCGGGGUGAAAGCCUGAGGCUCAACCUCAGAAUUGCCUUCGAUACUGGAGAUCUUGAGACCGGAAGAGGUGAGUGGAACUGCGAGGUGUAGAGGUGAAAUUCGUAGAUAUUCGCAAGAACACCAGUGGCGAAGGCGGCUCACUGGUCCGGUUCUGACGCUGAGGCGCGAAAGCCAGGGGAGCAAAGCGGG